rnacentral:rRNA from 1 species
GGGUGCGAUCAUACCAGCACUAAUGCGCCGGAUCCCAUCAGAACUCCGAAGUUAAGCGUG